UCUUGGUGAGCAUGCAAGCU
rnacentral:misc_RNA from 1 species